UCAGUGCAUCAGAAGACAGACAUAAAACAGGCAAAACUCCAUGUAAAUAUAGAGGUGUUUUAUUAUAAUGUACUAAGAAAUAAAUUUUUUCAAGCUUCAUGGUCGCUCGGAGAGGGUUUCUCUCACUACUAGCAAGUGGGGAGUGUGAAAUUAAAAAAUCCGGAGUGGAGCUGUAAAAAUGGGGGCCUUGUGGGUGUGACGGGAAAUUGAUGUCGCUCCGCUCCAGUGAUCCAAUCCAAAGACUAUAGAAUACCCUUAAAGGGAUUUUGUCCAAUCAGCGCGUUGCUUGGGGACACGCAAAGCUUGAUGCGUUGGUGUUUGCAACCAGUUUUGCUGGUGAAUGGACACUGAGAGAAGCUCUUUGAUGUUGGUGCAAGAAACCGUUUAACUCACCUGCAUUCAGAAACACCAGCUGGAUUCUUUGCUGAACUGGCUGAGUCCCUCUGCUUUAACAUUUGAAUCAUAAUAGGUUAUAUAUCCUUUUCCUCCCAAGCCAUGUCUACAUUAGAAAAUCAAAGUCCAGCCAAUCCGAAUACCUCCACUCAUGUCCACACCACAGCAUGGUGUCUGUCUGUCUGCUCUGAAUUUG